CAAAGUUCAGAGAGGGGGAAAAGUCAUUUGGCUUUGUCUAUGUAUUAGUCAGGCCUCUCCAGAGAAACAGGAUCUGGGAACUAGCAUGUCUAGAAUUAGUUCCUUCCAGUGGGUUCUUGGUCUCACUGACUUCAUUCUCCAUUGUAUGUUCUUGGCACUUUUGUCAGAAAUUAAUCGACCAUAGCUGUGUGGAUUUAUUUUUGGGCUUUUAAUCCUAUUCUAUUUGUUAAUGUGUCAUUUUUAUGACAGUAUCAUGUUGUUUUGAAUCCUAUAGCUUUAUAAUGUAUUUUGAAAUCUGCUAGUGCGAUGCCUUCAGUUUUUGGGUUUUGGUCAAAAUUACUUUGGAAUUAUUCAAUUUAAAAUGUUAACUAUAGGAAAAAAGAAAA
rnacentral:lncRNA from 1 species